rnacentral:rasiRNA from 1 species
UGAACACGAAACGAAAGCCCCCUGU